UACAGAGGGAUGCUACCGGGCGACCGGAUGCGGAUCUCGAAAGCCUGUCCCAGUUCGGACUGGAGUCCGCAACCCGACUCCACGAAGUUGGAUUCGCUAGUAAUCGCGCAUCAGCCAUGGCGCGGUGAAUACGUUCCCGGGCCUUGUACACACCGCCCGUCAAGCCAUGGGAGCCGGGGGCGCCUGAAGUCCGGGACCGCGAGGACCGGCCUAGGGCGAAACUGGUAACUGGGGCUAAGUCGUAACAAGGUAAC
rnacentral:rRNA from 1 species